rnacentral:rRNA from 1 species
UGAGGAAUAUUGGACAAUGGGCGCAAGCCUGAUCCAGCAAUGCCGCGUGCAGGAUGAAGGCCUUCGGGUUGUAAACUGCUUUUGUACGGAGCGAAAAGGUCUGCCCUAAUACGGUGGGCUCAUGACGGUACCGUAAGAAUAAGCACCGGCUAACUACGUGCCAGCAGCCGCGGCAAUACGUAGGGUGCGAGCGUUAAUCGGAAUUACUGGGCGUAAAGCGUGCGCAGGCGGUUAUAUAAGACAGAUGUGAAAUCCCCGGGCUCAACCUGGGACCUGCAUUUGUGACUGUAUAGCUAGAGUACGGUAGAGGGGGAUGGAAUUCCGCGUGUAGCAGUGAAAUGCGUAGAUAUGCGGAGGAACACCGAUGGCGAAGGCAAUCCCCUGGACCUGUACUGACGCUCAUGCACGAAAGCGUGGGGAGCAAACA